rnacentral:rRNA from 1 species
UACGAAGGGUGCAAACGUUGCUCGGAAUCAUUGGGCGUAAAGCGCACGUAGGCGGCUUCAAAAGUCGGAUGUGAAAUCCCUCGGCUCAACCGAGGAAGUGCGUUCGAAACUGCAGAGCUUGAGUACCGGAGAGGGUGGCGGAAUUCCCCAAGUAGAGGUGAAAUUCGUAGAUAUGGGGAGGAACACCGGUGGCGAAGGCGGCCACCUGGACGGUCACUGACGCUGAGACGCGAAAGCGUGGGUAGCAAACAGG